UAAGGAACAUUAUUCUCAUACAAAAAAUUAAGAUAAUUCUAAAUACACAUUCAUAAAAAAAAAUGGAAUUUAUUACAAAGGAUACUCAUAAGAUAUACUUGAAUUGUCCUGGACCUCACUUCUGUGAUGUGUAUAUGUUAAUGGAAUCCUUCUCUGAAUACGGGACCAACAUAUAAGUAGUAGAACCCCAAUGUCCAAUGAUCUUCAAUUUAUACCGAAUAUUGACUGUCAAAAAAAAAUGCUAACAUUCCAAUUUUCAAUAACAGUUAACAGCAAAUACAUUAUCACAAUAACAGAUAACAAAAAAACUAAAAGCCCAAUAACAUCUAACAAAGAAUAAGACAAUAACAGCUAACAGCAAAUAUAUUUUCAAAAUAACAGAUAACAAAGAAUUAAAUUGCCCCAUAACAGCAUAACAGUUAAACCCCUUGCCCCCCCCCCUCUUA
rnacentral:lncRNA from 1 species